UUGUGUUUUCUUCUGAUUUUCUUUCUGUAAUUGAUAGAAGAAAUCCAGCCCUUCCUAUAUUUAAAACUAGGGUUUUGAUUUCAUUCUUGAACACAUGUUAUUAAGAAGGAUAACAGGCACAGUAACAUCCAACUUUCGGUAACCGAAAACGAAAAAGAGAGAAAGAAAGGUGAUAGCAAGAGAGAGAGAUAAAAAAGUGAACGCAAUUUUAUUAAAGAUUCCCACCAUUUAACAUUUUAAACCAUAUCUUCAUCUGAAUGAUUGUCAACGAGAACUUUUUAGCUCCCACUAAAUGGAAUUUGAGUUUGAAUUAAAGUGUUUCAUUAGUCAAAUAUCAUGUUUAAGAUUAUUUAUAAGCUAGCUGUCGAUGCUGCAGCCUGUGGAUGGCGAAAGUCUUCACAGGGGAGGAAGAAAAUGCAGCAAGGUAUAAGAAUAAAGAGGAGGUGCAGCUGGGCUGGCUAGUAUUCGUGGGAUCAGAGAAGACACAAGAGUGUGGGUUUGUUGUGUUGGUGGGUGUUCUUGAAGGGUACACUAUCUGAGAGAUGCGAGCUGCUUGCUAGCAUAAAGUCAAAUGUGUUACUGGGAGUUUAUGGUAUAUAUCGAGCUGCUCCUAGAAUGAUAAUGGAGGUCCGUGCAUGCAGGAGGAGUCAAGCUAGAAUGUCAAUGGAGGUCCGUGCAGACAAUCUUUCAAUAUUAAAAAAAUGCAAUAAAUCGGGAACGAUGAAGAUAAGAUUUGGCCGAUGGAGGUCCAUUGGUCUGCGCACCAAUGAUUCUUAUAUCUGAAAACGGGCAUGGAGACAGCUACUGCGGAAUUCCACUUCAUCGGCUCCAUGAGAGUUUAAAAAUUCAAAAAUUUUAAAAAAUAUAGUUAGACUAUAGUGUCAAACAGGUGAGCUGAAACAUGCUGACUUGCAAGGCUCAUGAUGAUGGAUAGAAUCAUUCAAAUUAGCAAGAGUGCUUGUUGAUUCACGAGCAACUCUUUUGGAUGUUAAACUCGGAAGCUAGCUUCAGGAAUCUCUACAACAAGAAGAAAUCUAGCAACUAUUGACUGUUACGGAGAUGAUAUAUCUGGGGGCAAAGGGAAGGGUAAGAAUUUCCAACGCCUUGUUCAACACAUUAUCUGGGAUUAUCUCUCAGAUUUCCUAGUCAGCCACGUUCAGUACUCUCAAAUAAUGCUUGAAAGCGAUGGCAGGAGCAUUCCCGAAACCAUAUUUAUUAAAUGAAUAAAGUUAGGAGAUGAAUAAAGUUCAUUGUCAAACCGACAAGUUAGGAGAUGAAUAAAGUUCUGUGAAAUUUUAUUAAAUGAA